rnacentral:lncRNA from 1 species
AGUGUACCUUAAUUUUGCACUGGAGUCAGCAGAGGACAACAAUUUUUCUCUUUACCAAAAUCAAAAGAAGGACCUCACUUCCCUGCUUGGUGAGUGAGAGGAUUUUCCUUGUUCAUGGUUUUCUGUCAUUGAGGCUAAACAAGCAGGAGCCAUUAUAACUUGUGAGAAGAAACCACAAAAAGUACAGGCGAUUUAGGAUAAAUGCAUCUGACAGGGGUGUCAAGCAGGACUCAGCAAACUUUCUUUUAAACAGCCAGAUAGUACAUACUUUAGGCUUUGCAAAAAGACACAAAAUGAGGAUACUAUUUAGGUGCUUAUGUAACUGUUUAAAAUGUAACCAUAUAAAAAUAUUCUUAGCUUAUCAACUAUGAAUAAACAGGGAACUGUUUGGCAUUGGUCUGUGGGUUGCAGUUUUCUGACCCCUGUUAUGGAAGACUGACUUGGGGGAUGAGAAGUAAGGCAAGGUGGUCAGGUAGGAGGCUGGUAGAUUAAAAGGACCAGGACUAAGACUUGGCUGGUCACAGUGAGGAGGAAGGAAGGAAGAGGAAGAAGCUAGAGGGAACUUAAAUAUCUGAUUAGAUAUGAUGGAUAAAUGAAAGAUGAAGCAAAUGUGAUCUGGAGGGCUGGCUGCAAUUUGGGAUUCACAAACAUAUUAGGAUACUAAAAGCUUUGAAAAAUCCUGCAGUAAGUAAAACUAUCUGCUCAGUCCAGCGUUUCGCAAAGUUAUUUAUAUAUUGUGCCCUUUAUUCAUGGACUACCUACUAAUGCCCCCAGUGAAGUAAUGUAUCAUGGAAUGUACUUUAGGUUUCAUGGGCUUGCUCUAUAAUUGUGUAAUCCAUGUUGUAAAAGUGUGCAUUCCUUGAAAAGAAAGUUAACAAAUUUAGCAUUUGUGUGUGUGUGUGUGUUUUGGGGAGGGUUAUAAAAUAUGAAAUACAACUCCUGUGGAAGGUGGUGUAUUACAAAUUAAUGUAAUCUUAAUGCCUGGAAGAAUUAUGCAGUGAUUCAACAGGCCAGAUUGAUUUAAUAGUUUUUAAAUUAUAGAUAUAAUUAAUGAAAAUUGAGAGUGCUAAUAGUUGUUUUAAAACUAUUUUGCUACAGUAAAUUCACAUGGCCCUUUAAAACCUUCAUUUUCUUUUAUAUUUUUCUUUUUCUUUUGUUCUUUCUCUUUUUUAAAAAUUUUAAGUUCCAGGGUACAUGUGCAGGAUGUGCAGGUUUAUUACAUAGGUAAACAUGUGCCAUGGUGGUUUGCUGCACCUAUCAACACAUCACCUAGGUAUUAAACCAAACAUAUAUUAGCUAUUUUUCAUAAUGCUCUCUUUCCCCCUCCCCUCUCCCCUACAGGCCCCAGUGUGUGUUGUUCUCCUCCCUGUGUCUGUGUUAAAAACCUUCAUUUUCAAUCUUUUCAGUAUGGUUAUCUGUCUUUGAAUCCUCCUUAACAAAAUUAAUUGUUCCUUUUUUGUUUAAAAAAUUUUUUUUCUAAGAUGCUUUUGUUAUAGCAUACUCCUUUAUUUUUAAAAAAGUCCACAGCAAUUUCUAUAUAUCUCUCUUUUAGCACAUCAGAUUGCAUUGUAUUUAUUUGGGUAUGCCUAUGGUUUGUUGGACUGAGUUAGUGGAAGAUACUUAUAUUUCUUUUCCCAGUCCUUAGCAGAAUGUCAGACAUAUAAUAUGUUCUCUUGGAUGAAUAAAUCAAUAAAAGUUUUGGAAAAGUGACCAUUCCAACCUAUAUCUGAAAUACAAAUAAAGUUAGAUCCUGUAUCCCUCAGGGUCCAAUCAGGAAAACAGAAACCAUACCAGUAAUUUUAACAGAAAUAAUUUAAUAUAGGGAAUUGAAUUGCUAAACAGGUGUUUGGAAAACUGUAACUGCAGAAAGAUAUAGAAACUACAGGAAAUAUCUUUCACCAUUAGAGCAGGGGAGCAAAGGGUAGAGUGGAUGAGUAGAACCUAGAAGCUUGGAUAAAGGGCUCCAUAAAGUUGAGAACAAGACCAUGGAGCAGGAGGUGCCACCUGGCUGGUGCUGGUGUCUCUGCUGGGACUCCAGUGAAGCUGAUUCUGGAAAUACGGAGAAAAAAAAAGACGUAGACCCAAAUGCUGCUGCUAGGGUGAAGAACCAUUGCUGAGGGGAUAUUGACAGACACAGAAAGCAAACAGCAAGGGGCAAAUCCCUUUGCUAUCCUCUAGGUUUGCAGUCUUCCUCUAAUACCCUUUAUUGGCAGAGCCUAACAGGAAACCAGAUGGCAAAGGAGAAAUUUUGCUUGUGGAGUCCAGCCUCCAAAUCAUAUAACAGAGAACAGGAGGGUGGGCGGUGCUAAGAUAAAGUAGCUUAAUAACCAGCCUAGUUCCCAACGUACGUGUAUGGUCAAUUUCCAAGUGGCCUGACUCUGGAUGACUCAAGAGGGCUUUUCCUUCUCUCAGGAGCUACAAUAGUCACAGGAAGGUAUCCUUCUGCAGUUUGGGGGAUCUGAAGAAAAGCUGAGCAGAUCAGAAAUGAACUCAGCAGAAUUAACAUUAGAAAGAGAGAAACAAGGACACCAAGAAGCAAUUUCACCCAGGAAAGCAUUCUGUUAUGAAAUCCAAGCUCUCUUUACAUGAAGACUCAGCCUGCAGACAGCUCCCUACACAUGCACCCCACAGGGAAGGCUGCUUGUCACCAGCAACCAUCUCCAUCCACAUUCCCCCCGCCCUGCCCCCACGAGAAGCCUGCCUUCAGUUGUCCCAAUUACAGGGAAGCCUGCUGAGGAAACAGAACUGUCUGAAUGCAAAGGAAAUUUAGCUCUUAUGAAUAUGAACUCUCAACCAAGAAUCACCAGACGUUUAAGGAAAACCAAGAACACAAAAGAGAAAGAUCAAGAUUAAAAAAACAGCUGGGCGUGGUGGCUCUUGCCUGUAAUCCCAGCACUUUGGGAGGCUGAGGCGGGAGGAU